UGUUAACCGCCCCACACCCUCACAA
rnacentral:piRNA from 1 species